GGCGGCAUAGCCAAGUGGUAAGGCAUGGGUCUGCAACACCCUGAUCGCCGGUUCAAAUCCGACUGCCGCCUCCA
rnacentral:tRNA from 2 species